CUUGUUCAUAAUCUCUGAUGAAAAAUAAAGGAAGAAGAUACUGAAUAUCUCUUAUGUACUGGAUGUAUCUGAAAAAAUCUAUUGGAUGGCUAAAUAUUUUCAUGGCAAAGAUCCUGGGAAAUGUUCUCGUCUACCUUGGACACGUGAGGAAUAUAUGUGAAUACUUUGUUGUAUGUAGAAAAGCACAAGGAUGAC